UCCUGAUACUAUCAGUCGGUAGAGCACCAGACUCUUAAUCUGGCUGUCGCGGGUUCGUGCCCCGCAUCGGGCU
rnacentral:tRNA from 1 species